rnacentral:rRNA from 1 species
UUAGAAGUUUGAAUCUUGGCUCAGAUUGAACGCUGGCGGCAUGCCUUACACAUGCAAGUCGAACGGCAGCACGGAGCUUGCUCUGGUGGCGAGUGGCGAACGGGUGAGUAAUAUAUCGGAACGUACCCUAGAGUGGGGGAUAACGUAGCGAAAGUUACGCUAAUACCGCAUACGAUCUAAGGAUGAAAGUGGGGGAUCGCAAGACCUCAUGCUCGUGGAGCGGCCGAUAUCUGAUUAGCUAGUUGGUAGGGUAAAAGCCUACCAAGGCAUCGAUCAGUAGCUGGUCUGAGAGGACGACCAGCCACACUGGAACUGAGACACGGUCCAGACUCCUACGGGAGGCAGCAGUGGGGAAUUUUGGACAAUGGGCGAAAGCCUGAUCCAGCAAUGCCGCGUGAGUGAAGAAGGCCUUCGGGUUGUAAAGCUCUUUUGUCAGGGAAGAAACGGUGAGAGCUAAUAUCUUUUGCUAAUGACGGUACCUGAAGAAUAAGCACCGGCUAACUACGUGCCAGCAGCCGCGGUAAUACGUAGGGUGCAAGCGUUAAUCGGAAUUACUGGGCGUAAAGCGUGCGCAGGCGGUUUUGUAAGUCUGAUGUGAAAUCCCCGGGCUCAACCUGGGAAUUGCAUUGGAGACUGCAAGGCUAGAAUCUGGCAGAGGGGGGUAGAAUUCCACGUGUAGCAGUGAAAUGCGUAGAUAUGUGGAGGAACACCGAUGGCGAAGGCAGCCCCCUGGGUCAAGAUUGACGCUCAUGCACGAAAGCGUGGGGAGCAAACAGGAUUAGAUACCCUGGUAGUCCACGCCCUAAACGAUGUCUACUAGUUGUCGGGUCUUAAUUGACUUGGUAACGCAGCUAACGCGUGAAGUAGACCGCCUGGGGAGUACGGUCGCAAGAUUAAAACUCAAAGGAAUUGACGGGGACCCGCACAAGCGGUGGAUGAUGUGGAUUAAUUCGAUGCAACGCGAAAAACCUUACCUACCCUUGACAUGGCUGGAAUCCUCGAGAGAUGGGAUCUGAAUAGAACUC